UGGGACGCUGGCAUGUUUUUUCGGCCACUCGGUACCUCGCAUGCGGGGUUCCUGCCCUCCUUCUCGGGGCAGGCACUAUAUUCCCUGCCCGAGGCCCUGGAGACGAGUGCCCUGCCCUAGGCCAGCCGUUCUUCUGGGCCCCCGCACGUAGCCUGCAGCCCCACCUGGCCUGCAGGGUCCAGGGCCCCUUGAUUUGGGUUGGGUUGGGUCUCGUUCCACUUGCUGAGGUUGGCCAUAGAGGAUACCCACAGACUACAUGGGGGGCUGCAGGCUUCUGGAGGAUCCUGAGUGCGUUGGGACCCCGAGCCUCAGUGACCUUCCUGUAACUCAGGUCCAGGUCUCUGCUCCUCUGUUCUGCUGCUCCUGGCACUAUGAGAUGCCCCCCUGCACCCUGUACACAGAGCUGCACCCCCACCCAAUCUGACCUUGGGGGAGGAGGCCUCCUUUAACCCUUUGGGCUCUGUGGCUUCCGUGGCAGGAGACUGAAGUCGUGGCCCUUGUCCUGUCUGGCCCUUCUGUCCACAGGGCAGCUUUGACUCCUGAUCGAGACCGCCUGCGGCACCUGUCAGCUGGCAUUCAGGAUUUUGCAGGUUGCCUCCGGACUUCAUGCCCCACCAGCCAGCUGUGUGCAGGGAGCAAUGCCCAGUCAGCAGGGUUUUUUGUGUUUGUGGUCAGCGUUCAUGGUGCCACCCUAGCAGUUCUGUCCAGAGUCCUGGCCCGUUGCACUCAACUUUUGGCUGGCCUGGAUGUCGGCAACCAAACCUACAUAUCUCUGCCCUCCCUGCUUUCUGAGGGCAGAGUGACCGUGGGUCCAGGUGAGAGUAAACGAGGGAGAGAAGUUGGGGCCUGUAGUCUCGUCGUCUGACGUGCAGACUUAAAUCCAGUGUCUGUCUGUUUUUUAACCCCUGGAAGGAGAAGCAGACAAGACGGCAGAUGGGCAGCCGUUAGCCACUAAGGAGAGAAGACAUCCCCGCCCGCCCAGCAGGAGGGAAAGGUAAAGGAGUUUGCACACGGUGUCUGGCCUCUCUGCAAGUUGCAUCCCCAAGUUGUCAAUCUUGUGUUUAGCACCUUGUGGAAGGUGGGAGCCCUGGGGCAGCCGCGCACACAGGAUUCAUGUGUUAGGUCCUGCUGUUGUCAUACACGGGUAACUGCUAGGGCGGUACUCGUCCUCUUUUAGUAAACUGGAGGUAUGUCACAUCCCCCUUGUUCUUAAAGGACACCAAUCUUGAGAGUACGAUGGGCACUGGGAGAUACUUUUUACUCUAUUUUUCCUAGGGUGUGGGAUUCAUUGCCAGUCGAGUCCAGUUCUUUUGUGUGUACUCUUGCAGGUCCCUGGAGGGCAGCUGGAGAAAAAGGAACAGAAGCAGGAAAAGAAAGCUAGGGACCUAGAAGUGUGGGUUGGGGUGGGCAGGAGGGAGGGAGCAAAAUGUUUAUGUAUGCUUAAGUAAUUCCAGAUGGAGAGUGGUGUGCAUGUCUACAAUUUCCAACACCCAUUAGGAGCAAGCAGCCGCACGCUUCAAGUUGCACUUGGUCUUGGGUUGGCCUCGAUUGUGUGCAGGGAGGUUGAGGCUUUGUGCUAGUUGUGCAUAUUGAUAUGCAGCAGUGAAAAGUUUUGAAGGUUGUCUGGCUUGGCUAGUUAAGCAGUGGAUCAGAAUAGAUGCAGUUGAAGGCAGCUUGUAAGUUUUCCUUGGUUGGGUUGUUGAGCUGUACUCGGUGUUAGUGUAGAAAUGCAGGUUUGUGCUCAGUUCUGUUUCUGCCUUGGCUGUAGCUUGCUUAGGCUGCAGGUUGCGGGGCUGAUUUCAGGCUGUUUGUGGUACAGUUUGUUUGAGUCUGGUAGUUAAGGCUCUAUGGGUGUUUGAAAGCAUUUAAUCUCCAGCUCCCUGACCCAUGAGGAUGAAGGACUCUUCCUGUGUCCAAAGCAUCCUAAAGGGAGUUGGUGUGAUCACUGUGAAAACGGUAGGAGCAAGCAAGCCUAAGAUGCGGACAGUCUAAUAAUAAUAGGUCUAAGAAACUUCACCUCGUGGCUGGUGCUUUUCUACGCUGAGAAGAUUUGGCCGUGGGUCUUUUCUGUUGUGAGCUGGCUGAAGGAUGAACUUUUUCUUUGUGGCUGCCGAUCCGAUCUGUGUUCUUACUUGUGCAAUGCAAAUAUUUCCCCUUCUGAUGGACCAGUGGUAAAGGAGUGUGCAACACAUGGUUCCUAGUUUACAACGGUUAAUGCACUGCAGGACAUCAGUCCUGAUUUCUUUGAGGAACUGAAAAAUAAGAUCCAGUGAAGUUGUGGUGCUUUGGUAUAAUCUGUUGAAGUUCAGCAGUCCCUCGUCUCAAAAGAAAAAAUGGUCCCAAUAAAAAUAAAAUGCUCUGGCAAUUUAUGAGUUUCUAGGUGGGUUUUUUUCAGUCCAGGUGUUUCAGAUCUUGCCUGGCUGCCUUUAAUACAAGUCUUGCUAUUUCUAAUGGCUGGGUGGGUUCUUUUUCUCUAAGGACUGGGUCCCUGCGGUGGGAAGCUGCAAUGUCAUUGUUGCAAGAAGGGGAAGGACUGUGUGGCUCCCCAGUUGCCUCCAGGUUUUUGUGAGUUCUGUAAGCCCGGGUGUGGUCCUUCCCCCCUUGACUGUUUACUGUAAUGUCUGCAGCCUUUCAGCCAGCUCUACCUAUGUCAUCCCUGAGGGGCUUCUCAGUUUGGGGGGAGCCGAACGCAUCUUCUCAGCGCUAUUAUGUAAUUGGUUUUAAUAUAUUUUUAUUUCUAAAAAAAAUUACUUUUUCAAAUGUAUUUAUUUUAAAUAUUGGGGAAAACACGUAGUGGAAUUCCAGGGCAUUUGGAUGGAAGGAGGGAAUUAAUAUUUUUUUAAACAGUGAAACAGAAAUGUGUUUGAUUUGACUUCUGAUUAAUGUAGCAUAUCAGAUACACAAAAAAAACUUAAAACUGAGAACAGGGAGCUGAAGGGAUGGUGUUAUUUAUUCAAUGCAUGCGUACUUUGGAAAACUUACAUUGUACAGAGGUGUAUGCAGUACAGCUGUGUGCGGAUACUGAUAUGCAGAGAGUGUGUGUGUGUUUGUGUGUGUGCGUAAUAGACAGCAUCAUUAACACAAUGGUGUCUCUCUCUGUCUCUGUACAUGGCGAUAGUGAUGUAGGUGUUCAUCUCUCACCCUUGCACAGCUCCGCGCACGAGUGUGUGUCGUUAGUGUGGGUAUCACACGUGUCAUGCGGCAUCCUCACGAGCAUGGACGAAACGCGGCUCAGUGCUGCCCUCCUCUGGGGCGCUCCCAGCACUGCAGCCACGACAAGCGGGACCGCGGAAGGGAGACAAACCGGCUGCUCGGUGCUGCCCUCCUGUGGCCACGCCGGGCAUUGCGGCGGGGAGACCCGGGCGGGCACGCAAGCCUCCUCCGCGCUGCCGCCUGGGGCUGGAGCGGGGCUUGCAGCCCGGAGAUGUCGACCCGGGACGAAGCCGGGUCCGCGCCGACCUCCCUGCGCUUCAACCGAAACCCCUGCCCUGUGCUACUGCCCUAGGGCUCAAGCCGGUCUUUGCAGCCGAGAGAUGAGGGCAGAGAGAGGGAAAGCGGCUCCGGGCCCCGCGCCUGGAGCUCGGGCAGGCGGGAGAUCGAGGCAUAGAGGGAAGGAGAACAAAGGCGUCGCUCGCUCGGGGUCACUGGGGCGGUGCCCGCGGCCGGGGCAGGCGGGGUGGCGCUGCUCGGGCUGACACACGAUGCGCGACAUCGACUCAGGGCCGGGGAGAGCGCCAGCGCCGGGAUCCAAGGCUCGUGUUCUCAUUGGUCAACAUAAGGCGUGAGGCGAUUGGGUGGAAUGGCCUCAUGGGCGGAGUCACAGCCAUUCCGCCCUUCUUCGCUCUGAUUGGCCUGUACCGAGGGAGGCGGGCCUAGGAGCCCGGACUCCUUAUUCGCAUUCUGAUUGGCUAACGUGCAAGGUGGGUGUCUGCGGGUUUCUGUGCGCCGAUUGGUCCGACUCCAAUCCUCAGCGGGUUGUCCACCCGCGCGGCGCAGAGCCCAUGUCGUACUGCUGGGCCGGACCGGCGGGCGGACCCGGAGCGCUGCGGCACGUGCUGUGGCGACCACGGCGGGUCGUGCGGGAGACUGGUGAUGUAGGUGUUCAACUUUCACCCUUGCACAGCACCGCACACGAGCGUGUGUCGUUAGUGCAGGUAUCACACGUGUCAUGGGGCAUCCGCACCCAGCAUGCAGUAAACCUGGACGUGAAGGCUCCGUGGGUGUUUGAAAGCAUUUAAUCUCCAGCUCCAUGACCCAUGAGGAUGAAGGACUCAUCCUGUGUCCAAAGGAUCCUAAAGGGAGUUGGUGUGCUCAGCGUGAAAAUGGUAGGAGCAAGCGGGCCUAAGAUAUGACCAGUCAAAUAAUAAACAGUCUAUGAAACUUCACCUCGUGGCUGGUGCUUUUCUACGCUGAGAAGAUUUGGCCGCGGGCCUUUCCUGUUACGAGCUGGCUGAAGGAUGAACUUUUUCAUUGUGGCUGCCGAUCCGAUCUGUGUUCUUACUUGUGCAAUGCAAAUAUUUCCCCUUCUGAUGGACCAGUGGUAAAGGAGUGUGCAACACAUGGUUCCUAGUUUACAACGGUUAAUCCACUGUAGGACAUCAGUCCUGAUUUCUUUGAGGAACUGAAGAAUAAGGCCCAGUGAAGUUGUGGUGCUUCGGUAUAAUCUGUUGAAGUUCAGCUGUCCCUUGUCUCAAAAGAAAAAAUGGUCCCAAUAAAAAUAAAAUGCUCUGGA